UUAGGAGACAUAAACUAAGGAAAUAAUUUGGACAGAGAGAAGUAAAUAUAAAGAAUUGUUAACUACAUAUAAAGUUGUUAACUGGGCAACCGACAGGGUAAAAGGAGAACUCCAAGAUAUCACACGGGAAACACCUGUGAAAGCAGAUAUCACCUCCAGGGCUGGGGAAAGAAAGGGAAGUGGUUAGAAUUAUUAAAACCUUGAAACUUAAAGUAGGGGCCUGUGGGACUGGAACCCAGAUCUCUGAGGACAGGGUGUUGGCCAGCUGUGGUUGCUGCUUGUGCUGGUGGGGAAGGAGGGAAAGGCAAUGAAACUGGCUCUACAAGUGUUGGAACAACUGGAAAUUGGAUUUGGCUGCUGCUGUAGGAAGGAACUGCCAGCUGGGUGAAGAGACCCUGCUACCGUGUUGCUCAGAGGCUCCAGGCUUGCAUCUCCCAGCAGCACCCCAAAACGCAGAGCUUCUGCCCAGCAUCGCAAAGCCAGGAGCAUCCCUGAUGGAUAUAAGAGUUUUCUUAAGCCUCUCUGGUGGUAGCAAUCUUUGGAAUGGUAAAGAAGCUCCUGGAUUUCUAUAUCCCGGCUACACGAAGUGCUUCUUCAUAUAAACAACACUCCAGGUUUCUUCCCUGACAUGAGUGAUCUGCAUAGCAAUCUGAGUGGGGAGAAUCCAUCCACUGAAAAGUGCUUCUCCCAUACCACACAGGCUACCAUGGAUGCCUUCAGGCUCUCUAGCAGAUAAGUCUACAAUACUGGUGAUGUGGAUAUCUUUGGUUGUUCAAUCAAGGAUCCAAUUGAGUUUCAUGAGUUGCAUUUGGUCAUUAUGUUUCUGUAGUGUCUUUUAAAUAGCUCCCCCACCUUCUUUGUUUAUUUUUGUUCACACAGGACUUUUCAGAAGAAUCCAGUUGUUUUGGAGACAUGCUGAAUGUCUAAUCGUUUUUGUAUGUCCUACAUGCUGAAUUUAUCUAAUAGGUUCUUUAUGAUUGGAUUUGGGUUAAAUAUUUUUGGCAAGAUUGUUAUGCAGGAGAUGUUUUGUACUUCUUGUUGCCUCACAUUAGGAGGCACAUGUAUUAGCUGUGUUGCAUGGUGUGCUGGGCACUCUGCUAGGCACUGAAGACACAAUGAGAGCCACUGAUAAGACUGUGAGGUGAAGAGAUAAGGAAAACAGAAAGGCAGAUUUUUCAGAAGAGGUUUGCCUACAUGUAACAGAAAACUCAACGUACAGCAGCAGAAUCAAAUAAGGGUUUGUUUUGUUCUCACACAGGUACAAGUCUGGAGGCAGGCAGCCCAGAGCUGAUGCAAUGGUUUGACCAUCGUCAGCAUCUCUCUCUCUCUCUCUCUCUCUCUCUCUCUCUCUCUCUCUCUCCCAACAUUAGGGUAUGGCUUUUGGUCUCAAGGGCUCAAGAUGACUUCUGCCCCCCACCUCCCACCCCAGACAUUGUGACUCCAACCCAGACAGGAACAAAAGUGCAUGCAGUGGACUCUUCUCAUCUUUUAAGGAGUUUCUCAGAAGCUACACCCAAUUACUUGGUCUCACAUCUCAUUGAUUUUGACUAUGUCACUUGGUCAACCCAAUAUGCAAGAUUGGCUAGGAAAUGUAGUGAUUUAUUGUUGUUGUUUUGGGAACAUUGCUACCCUAAAGAAAAAUAGGGUUCUGUUGAUAAGAGAAAAAAGGGAGAAUAAAUGUUAGGUAGGAAUUAGCAGUCUUUGCCAUGGAGGCUGUUAUGGUUUGAACAUAUUGCUCCGAAAGAUAUCUAGAAGUGCUAAUCCCUGGUACCUCAGAAUGUGAACUUAUUUGGAUAUGGAGGCUGUUAUGGUUUGAACGUAUUGCUCCGAAAGAUAUGUAGAAGUGCUAAUCCCUGGUACCUCAGAAUGUGAACUUAUUUGGAUAUAGGGUCUUUACAGGUGGAAGUAGGCAAAUUAAAAUGAGGUUAUACUGAUCAGGGUGGACCUUUAAUCCAAUAUGACUGGUGUCCUUAUAAAAAGAGGAAAUUUAGGCAGAUGAAGGGAGAAUGCCAUGUGACAACUGAGGAAAAGAACAUCAUGGACUGUGGGCAAGCCAUCAUGGACUGUUGGCAACCUGUUACCAGAAACCAGGUGUCCUGCAUGGAACAGAUUCUCCCCUACAGUCUUCAGAGGAAGCAUGGCCUGCUGACACCUCACUUCUAAAAGUCGAGCCAAUCAGAGGAUGAUUCACUUUAGUAAAGAUGCCUGUGAGGGCCAACCAAUCGGCAACACUCACCCAGUAACCACACUUCUACAGAUGAUGCCAACCCAAGUAUGCCUCUGAAAGUCCAUCAAUCCCUGCGCUCCAUGCUCCCAAACCCUAAAUAAGUCAAUGCUCUACUCUGCUCAGAGACUAUUCCUACCCAGCAUAGCUCCCCUUUACUAUA